UUGACAUCCCUAUGAAUGACGGGUCAAUGCCGCUUAGUACCUUCGGUACAUAGGAGACAGGUGGUGCAUGGUUGUCCACAGCUCGUUCGUGAGAUGUUGGGUUAANUCCCGCAAACGAGCCCAACCCUUAUCUUUAGUUAGCCANCAGUAAGAUGGGCACUCUAGAGAGACUGCCGGGGAUAACCCGGAGGAAGGUGGGGAUGACGUCAAAUCAUCAUGCCCCUUAUGACCAUGGGCUACACACGUGCUACAAUGGCGUUAAACAAAGAGAAGCGAACUCGUGAGGCAGAGCGAAUCUCAAAAAUAACGUCUCAGUUCGGAUUGUAGUCUGCAACUCGACUACAUGAAG
rnacentral:rRNA from 1 species